rfam:Thermotalea metallivorans strain B2-1 AN619_contig000070, whole genome shotgun sequence.
GGAGGGAUUCCCGAGUGGCCAAAGGGGGCGGACUGUAAAUCCGUUAGCUCAGCUUUCGGUGGUUCGAAUCCACCUCCCUCCA